GAUGAACGCUGGCGGCGUGCUUAACACAUGCAAGUCGAACGGUGAAAGAGAGCUUGCUCUCUGGAUCAGUGGCGAACGGGUGAGUAACACGUGAGCAAUCUGCCCCUGACUCUGGGAUAAGCGCUGGAAACGGCGUCUAAUACCGGAUACGAGCUGCGAAGGCAUCUUCAGCAGCUGGAAAGAACUUCGGUCAGGGAUGAGCUCGCGGCCUAUCGGCUAGUUGGUGAGGUAACGGCUCACCAAGGCGUCGACGGGUAGCCGGCCUGAGAGGGUGACCGGCCACACUGGGACUGAGACACGGCCCAGACUCCUACGGGAGGCAGCAGUGGGGAAUAUUGCACAAUGGGCGAAAGCCUGAUGCAGCAACGCCGCGUGAGGGACGACGGCCUUCGGGUUGUAAACCUCUUUUAGCAGGGAAGAAGCGAAAGUGACGGUACCUGCAGAAAAAGCACCGGCUAACUACGUG
rnacentral:rRNA from 1 species